UGCAUAUCAAUAAGCGGAGGAAAAGAAACCAACAGGGAUUGUCUUAGUAACGGCGAGUGAAGCGACAAAAGCUCAAAUUUGAAAUCUGACGCCUUCGGUGUCCGAGUUGUAAUUUGAAGAAGGUAACUUUGGUUUUGGCUCUUGUCUAUGUUCCUUGGAACAGGACGUCACAGAGGGUGAGAAUCCCGUGCGAUGAGAUGCCCAAUUCCAUGUAAAGUGCUUUCGAAGAGUCGAGUUGUUUGGGAAUGCAGCUCUAAGUGGGUGGUAAAUUCCAUCUAAAGCUAAAUAUUGGCGAGAGACCGAUAGCGAACAAGUACAGUGAUGGAAAGAUGAAAAGAACUUUGAAAAGAGAGUGAAAAAGUACGUGAAAUUGUUGAAAGGGAAGGGCUUGAGAUCAGACUUGGUAUUUUGUAUGUCUUACUUUCGGGUGGGGCCUCUGCAGUUUAUCGGGCCAGCAUCAGUUUGGAUGGUAGGAUAAUGACAUUGGAAUGUGGCUCCUCGGAGUGUUAUAGCCCUUGUUGAUACUGCCUAUCUAGACUGAGGACUGCGUCUUUGACUAGGAUGCUGGCAUAAUGAUUUUAAGCCGCCCGUCUUGAAACACCGGACCA
rnacentral:rRNA from 2 species